GGUGACCGAUUGCAGUCGAAGGAUGCACGAUUGUUGAUAUACGCCCUGUGACGUGACGUGAGCAGUGAAGAAAUUCAGCCAUCAAGCUACGGGCAUAUAUUUUGUCCAAACGGACGGAGAGCGCCUGGCCGACACGGGGCAUCCUGACAAAUAUUCCGUGUCAAGCCAAGGGGACGAAAUCGUGUCCGCCACACAUGGUGUCAGAAGUGGGAUAGCUGAUGGCGUGGAGUGGUCGAACUGACGGAGCUAGGGGACGACGGCAGUAGCACUGACGGAGCUGGGGGACCAUGGGCAGUAAGUCUGACAGGCGUCACAAGCUGGUAGAGCUGACGGAGCUGGGGGACGACAGGCAGUAAGACUGACGGCGUCACAGCUGGUUGAGCUGGGGGACGACGGGCAGUAGGUCUGACGGUGUCACAAGCUGGUAGAGCUGACGGAGCUGGGGGACGACGGGCAGAAGGCCUGACGGCGUCACAAGCUGGUAGAGCUGACGGAGCUGGGGGACGACGAAGGGCAGUAGGUCGGACGGCGUCACAGCUGGUCGAGCUGACGAGGCUUGGGGGCGACGUGCAGUGAGACUGCCGCGUCACAGCUGGUCGAGCUGAAGGAGCUUGGGGACAACGGGCAGUAAGACUGACUGCGUCACAGCUGGUCGAGCUGACGGAGCUUGGGGACGACGGGAGGUAGCAUUGACGGUGUUGCAACUGGUCGAGCUGACGGAAGUGCGGAACGACAAUGGAGAGAAAGAACAAUGAGCCCAGGGAUGCUGAG